rnacentral:lncRNA from 1 species
CUAAAACACUACUUGGUAGAAAAAUAGUAACCUUGAUGCAUUUAGAAAACCUGCCUUGAGAAUUAGUUCAGCACUCUGUUACCAUACCUACUGUGCCUGUCGAGCAGGAAGUUGAUAAAUGUACUGAAAAAAAAGCAUUUAGCUGAAUCCAGUAUUAUUGAGGGGAAAAAGAUGAUUCAGUUACAGCUCUAUGUAUGGGAAUUGUGAAUAGCUACAUAUAUCAAAGAGAUUUAAAAGUUUUUAAGUUCAU